rnacentral:rRNA from 1 species
UGGGGAAUAUUGCACAAUGGGCGCAAGCCUGAUGCAGCCAUGCCGCGUGUUUGAAGAAGGCCUUCGGGUUUUAAAGUACUUUCAGCGGGGAGGAAGGGAGUAAAGUUAAUACCUUUGCUCAUUGACGUUACCCGCAGAAGAAGCCCCGGCUAACUCCGUGCCAGCAGCCGCGGUAAUACGGAGGGUGCAAGCGUUAAUCGGAAUUACUGGGCGUAAAGCGCACGCAGGCGGUUUGUUAAGUCAGAUGUGAAAUCCCCGGGCUCAACCUGGGAACUGCAUCUGAUACUGGCAAGCUUGAGUCGCGUAGAGGGGGGUAGCAUUCCAGGUGUAGCGGUGAAAAGCGUAGAGAUCUGGGGGAAUACCGGUGGAGAAGGCGGCCCCCUGGACGAAGACUGACGCUCAGGUGCGAAAGCGUGGGGAGCAAACAGG